rnacentral:rRNA from 1 species
GAAAGAUGAAAAGAACUUUGAAAAGAGAGUUAAAUAGUACGUGAAAUUGUUGAAAGGGAAACGAUUGAAGCCAGUCGUACCUAUGGGUAAUCAGCCUUUUGGGUGCGAUUCUGUGGGGUUUGAGGAGCUUAACACCUUCAUGCUUUGCAUAUUCGUGCUCUUGGGUGUACUUGCCCGUGUGGUUGGUUAACAUCAAUUUUGGUGGUCAUAAAAUGACUGGAGGAAUGUAGCUUCGAUCUCGUAUUGAAGUGUUAUA